rnacentral:rRNA from 1 species
GGUUGACCUCGGAUCAGAUAGGAAUACCCUGGAA